ACGGAGGGUGCGAGCGUUAUCCGGAAUUACUGGGUUUAAAGGGUGCGUAGGCGGCUUUGUAAGUCAGGAGUGAAAGUUUGCGGCUCAACCGUAAAAUUGCUUUUGAUACUGCGAGGCUAGAAUUAGGAUGAGGUCAGCGGAAUGUGGCAUGUAGCGGUGAAAUGCAUAGAUAUGCCAUAGAACACCAAUUGCGAAGGCAGCUGGCUAGACCUGGAUUGACGCUGAGGCACGAAAGCGUGGGGAGCGAACAGGAUUAGAUACCCUGGUAGUCCACGCCCUAAACGAUGCUUACUCGACGUAUGGCCCUAGAGGUUGUGCGUCCAAGGGAAACCGUUAAGUAAGCCACCUGGGGAGUACGACCGCAAGGUUG
rnacentral:rRNA from 1 species